CAUUUUCCAAAAAAGAAACUAUGAUUCUUCAGCUUUGGAAUGCUUAGAUUAACAGUAUUCUAUGUAAUAGACUGGGACGUUGAUUGCUUAAUUUACUGAUCUUUAAAGAAGCCACAUGUUUGCGGCCUCAAGUUUCCCCCCCAUUGCCAUUCUGAAGUCUCCAGUUCCUAAGCCCCAGAGGAGUCCCGCUGGGCACGCCAUCUCUCCCUCCCUUUGAUCCAAAUUCCCCGAGGUAGGCACUUGCUGCUUCCUCCUCCUCCUUGCCUGGUCCGUCCAUCACUUUCCACGGGCUUUCUGCCUUACAGAAUUUGGUGGAAAUCCCUCAUCUACACAUAACCCCUCUCCAGUCUCUUUGACACUGCAGCAGCACUAUUCACAAUAACCAAGACAUGGAAACAACCUCAAUGUCCAUCGACAGAUGAACGGAUAAAGCUGAUGUGGUGCAUAUAUACAAUGGAAUAUUACUCGGCUGUGAAAAAAGAAUGAAAUAACACCAUUUGCAGCAACAUGGAUGCAACUAAAGAUUAUCAUCCUAAGUGAAGGAGUAGGCAGCCUGACCUCCAGUACCACAUUCUCCGUGUGUCCUUGCACCCUGAGUCAGGUCCCCCUUCCUGGGAAGGAGAAGGCUGUCUCCGGAGAGCAGAUACACAGAAGAUGCCUUUGGCGCCUACCACGUCUAUAGCCCCUG